CAAAGGUGAGCCAGUACAGGAUGGACCCGCGUCUGAUUAGCUAGUUGGUAAGGUAACGGCUUACCAAGGCGACGAUCAGUAGCCGACCUGAGAGGGUGAUCGGCCACAUUGGAACUGAGACACGGUCCAAACUCCUACGGGAGGCAGCAGUGGGGAAUAUUGCACAAUGGGCGAAAGCCUGAUGCAGCAACGCCGCGUGAGUGAUGAAGGCCUUCGGGUCGUAAAACUCUGUCCUCAAGGAAGAUAAUGACGGUACUUGAGGAGGAAGCCCCGGCUAACUACGUGCCAGCAGCCGCGGUAAUACGUAGGGGGCUAGCGUUAUCCGGAUUUACUGGGCGUAAAGGGUGCGUAGGCGGUCUUUCAAGUCAGGAGUGAAAGGCUACGGCUCAACCGUAGUAAGCUCUUGAAACUGGGAGACUUGAGUGCAGGAGAGGAGAGUGGAAUUCCUAGUGUAGCGGUGAAAUGCGUAGAUAUUAGGAGGAACACCAGUUGCGAAGGCGGCUCUCUGGACUGUAACUGACGCUGAGGCACGAAAGCGUGGGGAGCAAACAGGAUUAGAUACCCUGGUAGUCCACGCUGUAAACGAAGAGUACUAGGUGUCGGGGGUUACCCCCUUCG
rnacentral:rRNA from 1 species